AGAGUUUGAUCAUGGCUCAGGAUGAACGCUAGCGGCAGGCUUAAUACAUGCAAGUCGUGGGGCAGCGCAGUGUAGCAAUACAUGGGCGGCGACCGGCAAACGGGUGCGGAACACGUACGCAACCUUCCUUUAAGCGGGGGAUAGCCCAGGGAAACUUGGAUUAAUACCCCAUAAGAUUAUGGUGUGGCAUCACACAGUAAUUAAAGCUCCGGCACUUAAAGAUGGGCGUGCGGCUGAUUAGGUAGUUGGCGGAGUAACAGCCCACCAAGCCAACGAUCAGUAACUGGUGUGAGAGCACGACCAGUCACACGGGCACUGAGACACGGGCCCGACUCCUACGGGAGGCAGCAGUAAGGAAUAUUGGUCAAUGGACGCAAGUCUGAACCAGCCAUGCCGCGUGGAGGAUGAAGGCCCUCUGGGUUGUAAACUUCUUUUAUUUGGGAAGAAACCACUCUUUUCUAAGGGUGUUGACGGUACCAUUUGAAUAAGCACCGGCUAACUCCGUGCCAGCAGCCGCGGUAAUACGGAGGGUGCAAGCGUUAUCCGGAUUCACUGGGUUUAAAGGGUGCGUAGGUGGGCAGGUAAGUCAGUGGUGAAAUCUCUGGGCUUAACCCAGAAACUGCCGUUGAUACUAUCUGUCUUGAAUGUAGUGGAGGUGAGCGGAAUAUGUCAUGUAGCGGUGAAAUGCUUAGAUAUGACAUAGAACACCCAUUGCGAAGGCAGCUCGCUACACUAUUAUUGACACUGAGGCACGAAAGCGUGGGGAUCAAACAGGAUUAGAUACCCUAGUAGUCC
rnacentral:rRNA from 1 species